UACGGGGGGGCGAGCGUUGUUCGGAUUUACUGGGCGUAAAGGGCGCGCAGGCGGCGAGUUUUGUCAGGCGUGAAAGCCCCGGGCUCAACCUGGGAACUGCGUUUGAUACUGGCAGACUCGAGUCUGGUAGAGGGUAGUGGAAUUCCGCAUGUAGCGGUGAAAUGCGUAGAUAUGCGGAGGAACAUCAGUGGCGAAGGCGGCUACCUGGACCAAGACUGACACUGAGGCACGAAAGCGUGGGGAUCAAACAGG
rnacentral:rRNA from 1 species